CACGUAGGGUGCGAGCGUUGUCCGGAAUUAUUGGGCGUAAAGAGCUCGUAGGCGGUGUGUCGCGUCGGCCGUGAAAACCUGCAGCUUAACUGUGGGCUUGCGGUCGAUACGGGCAUCACUGGAGUUCGGCAGGGGAGACUGGAAUUCCUGGUGUAGCGGUGAAAUGUGUAGAGAUCGGGAGGAACACCGGUGGCGAAGGCGGGUCUCUGGGCAUCUCCUGACGCUGAGGCGCGAAAGCGUGGGGAGCAAACAGG
rnacentral:rRNA from 1 species